UCUGUUUAUUUUUUCAACAGUUUUUGCCAUCCCUCUAUCUACAACAAUACUUUGACAUAAAAAAUAAAUUAAACUUAAGUAAAAGAAAUGACAAUUCUGAUGUGACCUUUAGCUGUCAUAAGUCACGGUCACAACAUGCUAGCACACACACUGAUGCACAGUCGGUCGGUCGGCUUUGUGUCGACGGGUUACAGCUACGGAAAAUGAAACGGCAAAAGCCAUCCGGGGCGCAGUUUCGAAAGCCCAGAAAAGAAGAGCAGGAGAAGCGUGCAAAAGACAAAGAUUCACUAUUAAAAUAUUUGGGACCACCUGCAGCUGGAUCAUCAGAGCAGGAACAGCCAUGCACCUCAGCUGCUCCGGUUUCCUCAAAACCACCAGAAGAGACACAAGAGCAUGCUGCUCUUCCUGCCAACCUCACCCUGCCUCUAACCACAGAGCCUGGAUGUUCAACAAACGCUGGCAAUUCACCUUCAGCUGAUCCUGCUGACUGGCCUGUUCAUGUACCCG
rnacentral:lncRNA from 15 species